GAUGAACGCUGGCGGCGUGCCUAACACAUGCAAGUCGAGCGAAGCACUCUACUCGAUUUCUUCGGGAUGAAGGUUUAGUGACUGAGCGGCGACGGGUGAGUAACGCGUGGGUAACCUGCCUCACACUGGGGGAUAACAGUCAGAAAUGACUGCUAAUACCGCAUAAGCGCACGGAACCGCAUGGUUUUGUGUGAAAAACUCCGGUGGUGUGAGAUGGACCCGCGUUGGAUUAGCCAGUUGGCAGGGUAACGGCCUACCAAAGCGACGAUCCAUAGCCGGCCUGAGAGGGUGAACGGCCACAUUGGGACUGAGACACGGCCCAG
rnacentral:rRNA from 1 species